CCUACCAUGCGACUGGUAGUAGCCUGAGGAGACUUGCGUCACUGGCAACGGUGGGGUGGGAAGCUCUCCUGACAAAGUGCCCCCAUAAUGGUAUCCGAUGGCUGUGAAGCUAUGGGGUGGAGACUCCCAGCAGCAAUGGGGUCAAGGUG
rnacentral:ncRNA from 1 species